UCCAUCCACGGUAACCUCCUACUUUUUUAAACGAACCUUUGAAAAAACACACCAGGAUGCAGCAUGUUUGGUUCGUUUGCAAAAAUACUUUCCAUCAUAUGCAUAUUAAACAUGCAUUAACACUAAAUUACCGUAUAAUGAUGUUAAAUAAAAUUUUACAAAAAAAGUAACUAUCUAUGUAUUAUUAAUAUUAAUGAUCUCGCAUGUGUGUAAAUGAAACAGUGAGAGAAGUGGUGUGUUGGCAAUGAUUAGAACGAAAUAGUUCCAUAGCCAAAAUAUAUAUUUUUUGACUUUCCGCGUGUAUUUAAGAAUUUGUGUGGGUAUUUGUUAAGUUUGAACAUUUUUUUAAAUCUCUGGUGAAAUAAAAACGUUAUGUUAACGGUAAAAAAAUAUUACGUGCCGAAACCGUGGUCGCGCAUUAAUAAUGUUAAUAGUCACUUGAUUGUUUUCUCUUUCAGCCGUUUGCAGUCUGCACAGAUUACGCCAUAUUGCAGUGUGUUUUAAUAUAUUACUGACCGUGAAAUAACGUACAGUUUGUGUUUCAGGAUUUUGUGUUAAUAUUGUGUAUUUUAACUUUGUUAUAUUAUUUAUUAUCUACUAUUGUAAUGAUGGAAUUUGUUAUCGUUUUGAUAUUUUGUGUGGUUCUUGUGAUUGCUGUAAUGGUAAUUGGUUCCGGAAUGGGGAAAGCUACUUCUUCGCAGCGUCAGAUGGACAUCAUUAACGUCGCUCAGAACUUGUAUGUUUUAAUUAGGAAAGGCGACUUGAAGAAAUGUGACGUUACGCAGACGACCGCGUUUCUUCUCAACAUCGCAAAGUCAACUGUUCUCAAGUAAGUAGGUUUUUUUCGUUUUCAUGCACGUAAAAAAAAUAUCGACUGUGUCCUAAGUAUUGUCGGCCUGUGUUUUAACUCACGAGGUUUUUUGUGUUUUAUUUCCAAUUUAUAUUUUUUGGUGUGAGACAACACCGCCAUGUGGCGUCUCUGUUGAAAAGUUAACCUAAAAUCAUAUUAGGCCUACUCAGGUCCUAACAAUAACAAUAUAGGCACUUUCAAGUAUUUUUAUGGGUGUGAUACACGUUUGUUUAUAACGAUGUUUAUAAACUUUAUGAUAGGUUUAACUAUAACAUAAGGGAGUGAUUUUAUAAUUUGCAUUUAAUUAGUUUUUCAUCUGUUUGGGAGAUCACAAAAUAAAUAAAAAAACACUUCAUUAAUUUCGUGGACAAAGUCUGUCAUGUUUCCAUUUAGUGACCACAAAGCAAAUAUUUGUGACAAAAUGCCAUAUUUGGAACACUGCCUAACUGCGUAUUGUGAACGGGUCCCCGGAAAAGUGUUAUGACAAAUGUUUUUUUUUUUUUGGUUAGGUACUACAAGAAAGACAUUGAAGAAGUUUCAACACCAGGAAAAAAGAGGAAAAAAAGGCCACAGGAAGGAAAGUCACUUGACACAGUCGACGAUUUCACAGUAAAUGCAAUCAGGAAUGCAAUUUACAGGAUGUACGCUGAAGGUUUGUAUGUUACAGUCGACACCAUUUUGAAAGAAAUCAGGGAAAGACAAAUAGAUUAUUAUGGUGGAAGAUCAAAUCUUCAUAAAUUGUUAAAGAAGAUGGGAUUUUCAUGGACAACUGUUGAUGGACGAAAAGCUUUGAUAGAGAAUGAAAACAUAGUAUUGAAGCGAAUAGAUUUCUUGAGAAAGUAUAAAGAAGAAAAAGAAAGAGGUGCCAAUUUCAUAUUUGUUGAUGAAACAUGGAUUUUCCAGAGAGGCAAGGCAUUAAUUUAUUUGAAAAUUUGUUCUGUGGUCCAAUACAAAGUAUUUCAUUUCCAUUUCAUAUAUUUUUCAGGAACUGUAUCAAAGUCAUGGCAGGACAAGAGUCUACAAUCUGCGAAGAGACGUACUGUUGGAGAUGGUAAAAGGUUUAUUGUUGUUAAUGCUGGAGGGCGCACUGGCUUUGUGCCAGGAGCAGGAUUACUUUUUGUUUCAGGUCAGAAGACUGCAGACUACCAUGGCGAGAUGAAUGGGGAAACUUUCUUGAUGUGGUUUGAAGACAUGUUGGUGCAUCUGGAGGAACCCAGUGUCAUUAUAAUGGACAAUGCUUCAUAUCACAGCACCCAGGUUGAGAAAACACCUACAACGAACUGGACCAAGGAUGCACUGAUCGCGUGGCUGGAGAAGAAUGAGAUAAAACAUGAAAAUAAUUUGUUGAAAGUGGAGCUGCUGAGAAUAGCUAAACAAAACAAGCCCCGAAUACGGUAUAUUAUUUCGUUUUUUUUACAGCAUUUCUUUAAAAGUGAGAUAGUUGCAAAAAAUUACGUAUACGCCUUGUUCUAACACACUUUUCAGAUAUGAGGUAGACGAGUUGGCUUGUAACUAUGGCCACAAAAUUCUACGACUCCCACCCUAUCACUGCCACUAUAAUGCAAUCGAACUAGUUUGGGCUCAAUGUAAACACCAUUACAAUAGUAACGUGGGGCGGGCCAAGAGAUUUGACAAUGAUGCAGUUGCAGCCAUCUGGAAAGAGGCUCUUGAUGCUUCCACACCAGAGAGAUGGGCGAGGUGUGUGGAUCACGUGGAGAAGCUAAUUCAAGCAGACUGGGAGAGAGAAGUCCACAUAGACAGCGGCACCAUUCCUCCACUCAUCAUCCACCUCGGCGAGGAUAGUUCAAGUGAAGACAGUGACAGCGAAGAAUUUGAGGUUACGACACAGCAAGUAGAUGGAGACAGUGAAGUACUGGCAGUUCCUCUUGAUGAUUUACCCGGGUGUUCUUAUUGAGGUCUGUAUGUAAUAAACACCUGGGCAACUGUAAGUAUUGGGGUUUGAAACAUUUUUUUUUCUUUUAUGCAUUCCCAUUAAGUAUGUUGAUUACUGGAACUUUAUGUAUUAACUUUAUAUUACACAUAUUAUAAAAUUAAUAAUAAAUUUCAUUUCUGGAUUCGUAUAGGUGUAUGUGAAACAUUUUAUUUUGUUGUGUCUCUUCAUUUUUCAGUGAACUUACUUGGAAAACAAAAAGCCAGUCCCCAUCCAGGGCCACAAAUAAAUAAUGCAUAUAAGUGGUAUAGAAAUUACUGUCAAUUCUUUACCACAAUUUUACUGUUCAUAAAAUUAUGAUUUUGUCUAAUAAGUAUACUCAGGAAAAUGUAUAUAACCAUAUUUUUAUUUGUGGCCUUAACCGGCAAAAUGGUAGGGGUUUAUUAAAUAAAAGAAGAAAAUUCAUUUUUAAAUGU